rnacentral:rRNA from 1 species
CCUACGGGCGGCAGCAGUGAGGAAUAUUGGGCAAUGGACGAGAGUCUGAACCAGCCAAGUCGCGUGAAGGAUGACUGCCCUAUGGUUUGUAAACUUCUUUUAUAAAGGAAUAAAACGAGGCACGUGUGCCUUUUUGCACGUACUUUAUGAAUAAGCAUCGGCUAACUCCGUGCCAGAAGCCGCGGUAAUACGGAGGAUCCGAGCGUUAUCCGGAUUUAUUGGGUUUAAAGGGAGCGUAGAUGGGUUGUUAAGUCAGUUGUGAAAGUUUGCGGCUCAACCGUAAAAUUGCAAUUGAUACUGGCGGUCUUGAGUACAGGUGAGGAAGGCGGAAUUCGUGGUGUAGCGGUGAAAUGCUUAGAUAUCACGAAGAACCCCGAUGGCGAAGGCAGCUUACUAAACUGUGACUGACAUUGAUGCUCGAAAGUGUGGGUAUCAAACAGGAUUAGAUACCCGGGUAGUC